GUCUUUGUAGCUUAAACUAAAGCAUCGGCCUUGUAAACCGAAAAUGGGACCGCCACAACACCCCUAAGACA
rnacentral:tRNA from 1 species